UUAAAACACCGGUUCCUGGACGAUCACCGAAGUUAAGCCACGUCGAGUCUGGUCAGUACGUUAAUGAGUGACCACUUGGAAAUACAAGUUGCUGUAA